rnacentral:rRNA from 1 species
UACAGAGGGGGCCAGCGUUAUUCGGAAUUAUUGGGCGUAAAGCGUGCGCAGGCGGUUCGUUGUGUCUGUGGUGAAAGCCCCGGGCUUAACCUGGGAAUGGCCAUGGAAACUGGCGAGCUGGAGUGUGGCAGAGGGGGGUGGAAUUCCGCGUGUAGCAGUGAAAUGCGUAGAGAUGCGGAGGAACACCGAUGGCGAAGGCAGCCCCCUGGGUUGACACUGACGCUCAGGCACGAAAGCGUGGGGAGCAAACAGG